rnacentral:rRNA from 1 species
UUCGCAAUGCCCGAAAGGGUGACGAAGCGACGCCGCGUGCGGGAAGAAGGCCUUCGGGUCGUAAACCGCUGUCGGGAGUUAAGAAAUGCAAGGAUAUUAAUAGUGUCUUUGCUUGACUAAGGCUCCGGAGGAAGCCACGGCUAACUCUGUGCCAGCAGCCGCGGUAAUACAGAGGCGGCAAGCGUUGUUCGGAAUUACUGGGCAUAAAGAGCGCGUAGGUGGUUAGGUAUGUCGAUGGUGAAAUUCCACAGCUCAACUGUGGAACUGCCAUCGAAACUACUUAGCUAGAGGACAGGAGGGGAGAGUGGAAUUCCUAGUGUAGCGGUGAAAUGCGUAGAUAUUAGGAGGAACGCCGGUGGCGAAAGCGACUCUCUGGACUGUUUCUGACACUGAGUGCGCGAAAGGUAGGGGAGCAAACAGGAUUAGAUACCCUGGUAGUCCUAACCGUAAACGAUGGGCACUAAGUAGAGGGGUUUU